CGUAGGGGGCAAGCGUUGUCCGGAAUUAUUGGGCGUAGAGCGCGUGUAGGCGGCCAGAUAAGUCCGCUGUGAAAUCUCGAGGCUCAACUUCGAGCUGUCGGUGGAAACUGUCUGGCUAGAGUCCGGAAGAGGAGAAUGGAAUUCCUGGUGUAGCGGUGAAAUGCGCAGAUAUCAGGAAGAACACCCGUGGCGAAGGCGGUUCUCUGGGACGGUACUGACGCUGAGACGCGAAAGCGUGGGGAGCGAACAGGAUUAGAUACCCUGGUAGUCCACGCCGUAAACGAUGGGAACUAGGUGUGGGCGGUGUCGACUCCGUCCGUGCCGAAGCUAACGCAUUAAGUUCCCCGCCUGGGGAGUACGGCCGCAAGGCUA
rnacentral:rRNA from 1 species